rnacentral:rRNA from 1 species
GACGAACGCUGGCGGCGUGCCUAACACAUGCAAGUCGAACAGAGAUACGAUUUCGGUUGUAUCUUAGUGGCGAACGGGUGAGUAACGCGUGAGCAACCUGACCUUCAGAGGGGGAUAACAUUUGGAAACAGAUGCUAAUACCGCAUAAGACCACGACCCGACAUCGGGAUGAGGUCAAAGGAGCAAUCCGCUGAAGGAGGGGCUCGCGUCCCAUUAGAUAGAUGGCGGGGUAACGGCCCACCAUGUCGACGAUGGGUAGCCGAGCUGAGAGGCUGAUCGGCCACACUGGAACUGAGACACGGUCCAGACUCCUACGGGAGGCAGCAGUGGGGAAUAUUGGGCAAUGGGCGCAAGCCUGACCCAGCAACGCCGCGUGAGGGAAGAAGGCUUUCGGGUUGUAAACCUCUGUCCUUGGUGACGAAACAAAUGACGGUAGCCAAGGAGGAAGCCCCGGCUAACUACGUGCCAGCCGCCGCCGUAA